GUGUUCACUUCGGCAACAUAUAUACUAAAAUUGGAACAAUAUAGAGAAGAUUAGCAUGGCCACUGCACAAGAAUGACAUGCAAAUUCAUGAAGUGUUCCAUAUUUUU
ensembl:snRNA U6 U6 spliceosomal RNA